rnacentral:rRNA from 1 species
UACGUAGGGGGCAAGCGUUGUCCGGAUUCAUUGGGCGUAAAGAGCGUGUAGGCGGCCAGGUAGGUCGGUUGUGAAAACUGGAGGCUCAACCUUCAGAGGUCGACCGAAACCAUCUGGCUAGAGUCCGGGAGAGGAGAGUGGAAUUCCGGGUGUAGCGGUGGAAUGCGUAGAGAUCCGGAAGAACACCGGUGGCGAAGGCGGCCUGCUGGGCAGUAGCUGACGCUGAAGCGCGACAGCGUGGGGAGCAAACAGG